rnacentral:lncRNA from 1 species
CAUCAUUUCCUUAGCCGUUUGAAUUUUCCUUUACUUCUUUUAUGCUUAUUAAAUUUUCAAAUUUAGUCAGCCGAGGUCCAUACCACUGGGCACCUAGAGGAGGUAUCCACGGAGUCAUACGAGACUAUUCCCAUGCCCGAGGAUCACGCCCUGGAGCCUGUGGCCCAGCUAACUGAGGAAGACUUCCCCCACGUUCCGAAUUCUCAG